GUUUGUUUUCUUUAUGGUUCCAGGUCCACUUGAAAUCAUGGCCCAGCCCUUUUUUCACUUGCUGUCUUUUGUGAAAUCAAAUUGAGGAAACCUAAAAGUCCGCUAAAGCAGACCUUGUGAGAUGUUCUUCUGGACAAAAGGUCAAGAGACAGGACUCUGGGACUUCAGUCAAUUCUAGACAGCCUGAGGCUUGCACAGAGAUCUGGAAUCAGGUAAGCUGCUGCUGGAAAUCAGCUUUGCCUGAGCUUUAGUGUCUGAUAGUGUCGGGUUUCCCACUGGCCAAAUGCCAGGCAUCCACUAAUGUCACUCACUUAUCCUCCCCUGCCACAGAUGGGCAGAGGAGAGAAAAAAUUAACUCUCAUGAGUUGAGACAAGGGCUGUGAGAGCACACUCCAAGGGCAAAACAGGCUCAGCUUAGAGGUACAAAGUGAAUGUAUUACUAACAAAAUCAGAGGAGGAUAACGAGAAGUAAAAUAAGCCCUUAAAACACCUUUUCUUCUUCCAGCCCCUCCCUC
rnacentral:lncRNA from 1 species